GUGCUCACUUCGAAGAGCAGCACAUAUACUAAAGUUGGAAUGAUAAAGAGAAGAUUAGCAUGGCCCCAGUGCAAGGAUGAAACACAAAUUCAUGAAGUGUUCCAUAUUUUU
rnacentral:snRNA from 1 species